AUGUGCAGCUCCCAGGCCACCAUUCCCCUCCAAGCAGCCCCUCAUGAUUCCCUGAGCCCUACCUUCCUGUCCCUGUCCCUGACCAGCCGUGCCGCAUCCUCGGCGUGGCCGUGGAGCUCCCGCAGCCGCCGCGCCUCGUCCUGGGCCUGCUCCAGCUGCUUCUGCGCAGCGCCCAGCCUGUCCUCGGCCGCCUGGCGCUCGCUCUUCAUGAACAGCGCCUGCCGCUGCACGCGGAACACCUCCUCGCACGUCUUCUCGUGCCGCCGCUCCAGCUCCUGCAGCCGCCGCGCCAGCGCCGCCGCCUCCGCCCGCAGCCCGGCCUCGGCCGCCUCAUGCUGCGCCCGCGGCACGGCUGCCGCCAGCUCUGCCUCCAGCCGGGCGGCCUCGCGGGCCUUGGCCUCGGCCGCGGCCUCCAGCUGCGCCAGGCGCUCCCGCAGGGCCUGCGCCUGCCGCAGCCGCGCCGGGGCCUCCUCCUCGUGCUCCCGCAGCCGCUCCCGCAGCGCGCCCAGCUCAGCCUCCCUGCGCGCCAGCACGGCCCGGAGCUCUGCCAGCUGUGCCUCGGCCUCCUCCUGCUGCCGCGCCAGCUCCGCCGCUCCCGCCGCUCCCGCCGCUCCCGGCUCCGGCGCUCCUGGCGUGUCCCGCGGCCUCGCCUCCAGCUCCCGCCGCAGUGCCUCGGCCUCAGCCUCGGCGCGCCCGCAGCGCUCCAGCAGCGCUUUCUUCUCCCUCGACGCCUCCUCCGCAGAGGCUCCCGGUGAGGCAGCAGCCUCCGCAGCCUCCAGCCGGGCCUGCAGCUCCUUCAGCUGCCGCUCCCGCUCCUCCAGCUCGGUCUGUGCCUGCUUCAGGGCCGCCUGUGCCUCCACCAGCUCCGUGCCCGGCUCCCGCUGGCCAGAGGGUGAGGAGGAGGGGGAUGUCUGCACCCCCAGCUCGUCCAGCACUGCCUUGCACUCGCCCCAGGCCCAGGUUGGCCCCUUGGUGGGAUGUGGUCCCGCGCUCCCCUCCGGGAUGGGCUCCGAGGCCCCGCGCUGCCCAUCCCCUCCAGCCUGCGCCGUGGCCUCCCUGCCCUGUGUCCGCAGCCGCUCCAGCUCCCGCUGCAGGGCCCGGUACAGACUGGCGGGCACCACGUCCCCCGGGGCAGGGGGGCUGCUCUCAUCCCGCUCGUAG
rnacentral:lncRNA from 1 species